rnacentral:rRNA from 1 species
UACGUAGGGACCAAGCGUUGUUCGGAUUUACUGGGCGUAAAGGGCGCGUAGGCGGCGCGGUAAGUCACUUGUGAAAUCUCUGAGCUUAACUCAGAACGGCCAAGUGAUACUGCAGUGCUAGAGUGUGGAAGGGGCAAUCGGAAUUCUUGGUGUAGCGGUGAAAUGCGUAGAUAUCAGGAGGAACACCGGUGGCGAAGGCGGGUCUCUGGGCCGACACUGACGCUGAGGAGCGAAAGCGUGGGGAGCGAACAGG